UACGUAGGGUGCAAGCGUUGUCCGGAAUUAUUGGGCGUAAAGAGCUCGUAGGCGGUCUGUCGCGUCUGCUGUGAAAACUCAGGGCUUAACCCUGAGCUUGCAGUGGGUACGGGCAGACUAGAGUGCGGUAGGGGAGACUGGAAUUCCUGGUGUAGCGGUGAAAUGCGCAGAUAUCAGGAGGAACACCGGUGGGCGAAGGCGGGGUCUCUGGGCCGCGACUGACGCUGAGGAGCGGAAAGCAUGGGGAGCGAAACAGGAUUAGACUACCGUGGUAG
rnacentral:rRNA from 1 species